UUGCUCUUCUUGGAUGAGUUGCGAACGGGUGAGUAACGCGUAGGUAACCUGCCUUGUAGCGGGGGAUAACUAUUGGAAACGAUAGCUAAUACCGCAUAACAAUGGAUGACACAUGUCAUUUAUUUGAAAGGGGCAAUUGCUCCACUACAAGAUGGACCUGCGUUGUAUUAGCUAGUAGGUGAGGUAAUGGCUCACCUAGGCGACGAUACAUAGCCGACCUGAGAGGGUGAUCGGCCACACUGGGACUGAGACACGGCCCAGACUCCUACGGGAGGCAGCAGUAGGGAAUCUUCGGCAAUGGGGGCAACCCUGACCGAGCAACGCCGCGUGAGUGAAGAAGGUUUUCGGAUCGUAAAGCUCUGUUGUAAGUCAAGAACGGGUGUGAGAGUGGAAAGUUCACACUGUGACGGUAGCUUACCAGAAAGGGACGGCUAACUACGUGCCAGCAGCCGCGGUAAUACGUAGGUCCCGAGCGUUGUCCGGAUUUAUUGGGCGUAAAGCGAGCGCAGGCGGUUUGAUAAGUCUGAAGUUAAAGGCUGUGGCUCAACCAUAGUUCGCUUUGGAAACUGUCAAACUUGAGUGCAGAAGGGGAGAGUGGAAUUCCAUGUGUAGCGGUGAAAUGCGUAGAUAUAUGGAGGAACACCGGUGGCGAAAGCGGCUCUCUGGUCUGUAACUGACGCUGAGGCUCGAAAGCGUGGGGAGCGAACAGGAUUAGAUACCCUGGUAGUCCACGCCGUAAACGAUGAGUGCUAGGUGUUGGAUCCUUUCCGGGAUUCAGUGCCGCAGCUAACGCAUUAAGCACUCCGCCUGGGGAGUACGACCGCAAGGUUGAAACUCAAAGGAAUUGACGGGGGCCCGCACAAGCGGUGGAGCAUGUGGUUUAAUUCGAAGCAACGCGAAGAACCUUACCAGGUCUUGACAUCCCGAUGCUAUUUCUAGAGAUAGAAAGUUACUUCGGUACAUCGGUGACAGGUGGUGCAUGGUUGUCGUCAGCUCGUGUCGUGAGAUGUUGGGUUAAGUCCCGCAACGAGCGCAACCCCUAUUGUUAGUUGCCAUCAUUCAGUUGGGCACUCUAGCGAGACUGCCGGUAAUAAACCGGAGGAAGGUGGGGAUGACGUCAAAUCAUCAUGCCCCUUAUGACCUGGGCUACACACGUGCUACAAUGGUUGGUACAACGAGUUGCGAGUCGGUGACGGCGAGCUAAUCUCUUAAAGCCAAUCUCAGUUCGGAUUGUAGGCUGCAACUCGCCUACAUGAAGUCGGAAUCGCUAGUAAUCGCGGAUCAGCACGCCGCGGUGAAUACGUUCCCGGGCCUUGUACACACCGCCCGUCACACCACGAGAGUUUGUAACACCCGAAGUCGG
rnacentral:rRNA from 1 species